UUCUGGUUCGUCUUCUCCGGCGAGGGCAGGCGGCUAGGGUUUGGGGUCUGGUGUGGGGGUCUUAUUUAUACCCUUUUGCCUUUUGAUCUUAGCCGUCCAUUUUGAUUUAAUCUGGGCCGUCUGUGCGAUUAGAUCUGGGCCGUCCGUGCGAUUAAAUCUGGGCCGUCCGUGCGCGCGAUUGAUCUGGGCUGUCCGAUCGCGCGCACGCGGAUCGCCAACGUGGCCCGUCCCCGGUCGACGUGGUUUUGCCACGUGGCAGGUCCUGGUUGGCCAGGACUGCUGACGUGGCUGCUGACGUGGCACGCGCGUUUUUUUUUUUUUGUUUUUUUGUUUUUCUUCAAUUUCCCCGGGCGCUACAACUCUCCCCCCCUUAAAGAAAUUUGGUCCCCAAAUUUGCCUCGUUACUCUUGAUCGAACAGAUGGGGAUAUUGGGCCCUAAAUUCUGAUUCCAGUUCCCAGGUGGCCUCCCUGGGCGUGUGGUUCUGCCACACGACUUUUACAAAUGAUAUUUUCCGGUUGCGGAGUAUUCUCCUCUCUCGGUCCGUGAUACCGACC
rnacentral:lncRNA from 1 species